AACUGCUUGAUAGUCACUGGCGGUCUGUCUGUUUUUAUGCUGUGUUGAGGAUGGUGUUAACGUAAGGCGGGGCUUCAGGGUCUUACAUCAGUCAACUGUCUGCAGUCACAAUCGACCCCGCUGACAUUUUCCGGAAAUAGCUCCAAUCUAACAGUCAUACUCUCUCAGCCCCUCGACAACUUUAAACAGUACAUCUACUGUAUUGUGUCCCUUGUUUCGGCCCCAAAUAAAACACUUUUCGAAAGAUUCCCCAUAAUCCGGCAUUAAAAACCAUUUGAUCAGUCACACCAGCCUAAAACACAUGGCCUUCGGGUAAUUCAUAAAAUGCCACCUCCGGUAGCUCUGGGUUGAAAAUGUAUCCACUGAUCCGACCAUCCAAUCCCCAUUCCUGUGCCAACAUAUCCUGGUGUAAUUGAUGCAUUCGGGUUAAACUCUGCAUAGGUUUCUUCGGGGCUGGCAUGUUGAUUGCAUCUCUGCGGUCCAUUUGUAAUUUCUUACCAAAUCGCUGAGCGGUGUUUAAGAUGUUAGCUUUCACCGGUGUUUGACCCAAAACAUUGAUCGCAGCACAAUCCUCCAUGUUUUGUAUUGUGUAGGUAAGUUUGUUCAGGCAAGAAUUAAUGACCAUCACCGAUGUCUGCGUGAUUUAAAUACGCAAACCACGCCUACAACCCAAAAAACAUGAAAGGUUAACCACCACCGGUUGUAGGCCAUCUGUUGCACCACUUGUCAGAAGAUUAAACACAGGGGGUUUUAGAUCUGACGAACACCAUUUGUUUAACAUCAAACAGCUUACCGCUGACACAACAAUUAUUUACUGCAUGGGAAUUUAACAUUCCGAAACCCUGACGGCCAUUUGUUAAUCAUCAAACAUAACCCACCUGUUAUAACACUAGUCUGUUUUGCACAUCAGACGUUGUAAAACAUCAAACACGGACACAUCAAUGUAAUCAUAAAUCACAAAGUCACCGGACAUGCUUAUGUCACUCCACGUCAUACAGGAAGUCGCACCCUAACAUACAUCUUACAGGAUGUCCCACCCUACAUACUGGAUGUCCUGCCCACCUGUCACAUCAAUAUGGAAGUCCCGCCCUCCCAGGCCAUAAAUCACCAUUCUGACAUAUUAUACCCUACAUUAACUACUGUUAUUGAGAACCCCCGGAGAUCAUACAGAGUAAAUCACCAUAAUGGAUUCAGUUACAGACACCAACCGUGUGGCUGCACAACAUCAGGGGAUUUUUGAUAAAAAAAAGUUAUUUCCUGCUUGAAAGCUGAAGGUAAUACAUAUUUUACCGUAAAAUCAUCAAAACUGUGAUGCAUUUAAAUGUAUGUUUGAGUUAGAAUAUUUUAACCUGUAAGUGGAUCAUUAUUUACACGUUAAGCUAUAGAAAUGGAGAAAGAUAAUGCUAACAGACCAGACACGGAACAACCAACAAAAUCUACACAUAAAUCAACAGACCACACCCCAAAAUACAAAUGAACCGGCCAUUACAUUGUUAAACAGCGAUGCACAC
ensembl:lncRNA